AACACAACAUGUUUUCUUUAUUUUAGUUCAGCUAUAAACUGACCUGACUUUUUCAAAGGUAGAACAAAUGUUCACUGAGUACAAAGUAUGAAUUCAAGCCCAAAAUUGUAGAAUCAGAUUUUCACACCAAACUUUAUCUGCCUUCCUUCCUUUUUUCUCAGAAUUAAAAAAAUAUAUAAAUAAAUACAAGUCUGACCACCAUGAACAUGGUAUUUAACUCCCUCUUGUACAUGUGGGAGAGAGGGCACACAGACCUGUGGAACUGGUUCCAAUCUCACUGAUGAUGUUGAGGUUGCUGUGCAGAAUGUGUUGCAAAACUGAAGUCUAACAGGGAAAUGUUCUGCAUCUUCCAAGGCUGUGCAUAGGUCAAUCCAUACUGACCAUGAGAAAAAGAAAAGCAUUGCUAUUAGGAAGCUUCAAUUGUGUUUUCAUCAUUCAUUGCUGCGGAGACUGAAUCAGAUGGAGCAGGUGAUCAAGUCAGGCUGAUAAAGUAGAACUGCUGCAGACAAAUGAGCUGGCGGAGCUGACAUAAUGUGUUGUCACAAAGAAAUGCUGGAUUAAAAAACCCCAACAACCCUGACUUUGAUGGCCUCUGAGACUCCUACUUCGCUCAAC
rnacentral:lncRNA from 14 species